rnacentral:rRNA from 1 species
GUGCCAGCAGCCGCGGUAAUACCGGUGGCUCGAGUGGUGGCCGCUAUUAUUGGGUCUAAAGGGUCCGUAGCCGGCCUGAUAAGUUACCUGGGAAAUCCGGUGGCCUAACCAUCGGGCGGCCAGGUAAUACUAUCAGGCUCGGGACUAGGAGAGACCAGAGGUACUCAUGAGGUAGGAGUGAAAUCCUGUAAUCUUAUGAGGACCACCAGUGGUGAAGACGUCUGGUUAGAAUAGGUCCGACGGUGAGGGACGAAGCUGGGGGCGCAAACCGGAUUAGAUACCCGGGUAGUCCCAGCAGUAAACGAUGCCAGCUAUGUGUUGCUGGAACCAUGGGUUCCAGCAGUGCCGAAGGGAAGCCGUGAAGCUGGCCACCUGGGAAGUACGGUCGCAAGGCUGAAACUUAAAGGAAUUGGCGGGGGAGUACCACAACCGGUGGAGCCUGCGGUUUAAUUGGAUACAACGGCCGGGAAUCUUACCGGAGGGGACAGCGAGUAUUGAGGGCCAGGCUAGAGACCUUGCCAGAUCAGCCUGAGAGGAGGUGCAUGGGCCGUCGCCAGUUCGUACCGUGAGGCAUCCUGUUUAGUCGGG